rnacentral:rRNA from 1 species
GACGAACGCUGGCGGCGUGCUUAACACAUGCAAGUCGAACGAAGAGCGAUGGAAGCUUGCUUCUAUCAAUCUUAGUGGCGAACGGGUGAGUAACGCGUAAUCAACCUGCCCUUCAGAGGGGGACAACAGUUGGAAACGACUGCUAAUACCGCAUACGAUCUAAUCUCAGCAUCGAGGAUAGAUGAAAGGUGGCCUCUACAUGUAAGCUAUCACUGAAGGAGGGGAUUGCGUUUGAUUAGCUAGUUGGAGGGGUAACGGCCCACCAAGGCGAUGAUCAGUAGCCGGUCUGAGAGGAUGAACGGCCACAUUGGGACUGAGACACGGCCCAGACUCCUACGGGAGGCAGCAGUGGGGAAUCUUCCGCAAUGGACGAAAGUCUGACGGAGCAACGCCGCGUGAGUGAUGACGGCCUUCGGGUUGUAAAGCUCUGUUAAUCGGGACGAAAGGCCUUCUUGCGAA